ACCUUAGUGGAGAUUCCUGUGUUCCUGAGGUCUUCUGAAGAUCUGGUGAGGGAUUUAGUAGCACAGAGUACUUCGGUUACCUUCACCGCUGACUGACCGUGUUCACGAGUUUGCAGGAUGGACGUCAGGCUGAGCUUUCUCUCCCUCUUAGCACCAGACAGAAGGGAUCCAGCACUAAUGAGGAUGAGGAUGUUGCCCUUGGGCUCUCUGAGGACCUUUCCUCUUCUGGGCCUUUGGAUGAGCUGAAGCCAAAAGCCACUAUUGGAAAUAUGGGAAAUCACAAAGCAUCAUAGAAUCAUGAAUCAUCGAAUGGUGUAGAUUGGAAGGGACCUUAAAGACCACUGAGUUUCAACCUCCUACCAUGGGCAGGUUGCCCCCCACCAUCUCAGGCUGCCCAGGGCCCCAUCCAGCCUGGACCUGAGCACCUCCAGGGAUGGGACACCCACAGCUCUCUGGGUAGCAGUGCCAGGGCCCCACCACUCUCCAAAUAAGAAAACAUCCUUGGCCACAGAUUUGCCAUGACUUUGAGGAAGUCACUUCAUCUGACAUCAGCACCACAAGCAACGAAGCCCUCACUGGUAUUGCAUUAAUCUUCAAUCAAAACUUCACAUAAGGAUUACAGGAAUAAACUACUGCAGCAAGAGAAUAUUCUUCAUCUGGAUGACCCCUUUGUUCCACAAGUGUGCAUUAUCGGCAUUUUCACAUCUGUUCAUCACUUGGAGCAACUUUCUUUUGUCCCUUAGUUAGCUCAAGCAUCCACUUCCCCCUCCCAUGCUCCUCCACACCAUACAUUUUUUUUUAAAUCUAAAUACAUUUUCUAAAGUUUAUGACAUGCUGUGUAAUUAAAAUCAAGUUGGCAAAAAAAAAAAGAACUGUUUCAUCCACUACAGCUCUUUUCAUUCUAUAAUCCUCCAGCUGGAGUGCAGGUGGGGAAUUUGAAGUGCUCUCGUACUCAGUGGCAACAGCAAGGCCAAGGUCAUGGACAUGACUAAUGACACUGAAUGUUCGCUGUGACCUUUCUUGUGGCAGCCCAACUUUCAGAAGCUUUACACGAUGCUUUCUGACAAUGAGAUCUCAUAGGAUAUUUUCUAUGAGCAUCCCAAAAUCAGAAAUCACUUCUGCAAGUUGUGACUUCUGCACUCACACUGGGGAUUGCACAGGAAAGGUAUAAACUGCUCAGCACUUCCAGUGCCCCCAAGGCUUUUUCUCACUUUUAACUUCCUUCUGUUGUAUGUGAGCUAUAUCUCCAUUCUCCUUGCAGACUCCUUCCCAAUAUCUUGUUAAAGUAAAUGAACUUUAAAAUUGGAGGUGGUUCUCCAGAGAAGUAAUUCAGCAAUAAUUCAGCCUACAGAAGUUCCCAAGUCUGUAAUUUAUUGAUUUAGCUAACAGUUUGUACUGACUGGUUAACAGUUUCCUAUCUUAUUACCCUGUGUUUUCAUUAUACCCAACCUGUCUGGUGGAAGGAAUAUCAAUCUUUGGCAGCUUACAAUUGCUAACAGUAGCUGUUAAACAUCUCUAAACUUGCCUUUACUUCUUUUUGGAGCCUCUUAAAGCUUCCUGAUUUGGAGGGUUGGCAGGGAGUUAAAAAGAUUUACUUCCCAAGAAAAACAACAAAAAAAUAUUUUAAUCCUCACUUUUGUCUCCAAAAGAGAGACAGACGGCUCUGCACUGCUGAUGCUUGCGCAAAAUCCUCAGCUGCACUUCCCAUCCAGCCUGCAGAAAGCGUUCACGAGCUUUUUGUCACGUCAUCCUCCCUCUUCAUAGCCAUAAAUGCAGACAAUGUGCAGUUGCCUGGUAGGAGGAAUAACAGAAAGCAUCAAUGCACUUUAUGACGCUUGGCGUGGAAGACAGAUGAGAUCUUACUGUGUUUUUAAGACGGACUAGAUGCUGACACUUGUAGCUGAGGAAAGGUUCCCAAGGUCAGAGCUGCUAAAAUUGGACCUGUAAAGAGGAAUGUGAGAAGAGAGUGGGAAUAAUACAAAGCAAAUGCUCGGAACAUUUGGAUAUGUGAAACAACUUUAAUUCAACAAAAGCCAAGCACUUUGUUCUUGUGUUUGGAGGAUAUCUGAAUGAUGAGGUAGCUAAUGGCUUUCAAACUGUUGUCUGAGUUGCAAAGGAACAAAAAAGGUAGACAAUAAAUUCAAAGUUCACAUGCGUGUCACAGUGCUGAUGCACACAUCGGGAGCACUCUCGUGCUCCUACAGAAAUGCUGGCCCUAUGGUGCAGUCAGGAGCCAGGAAAAGCCCUCGUGACCAGAGUGACCAACACACCACCUGCUGCCUGCUCAAAGAGAAAACACGCAAGGACAUUUUUAGGCAAGAGAAGCAGAGAAGCCUUUCAUCAGUUGCUCCAGACAAUAAUCACAUAGCUCAGUUUAUCAGCUCAAACCUGGCUCAUCUGCCUCGAUGAAGAGCUGUAGGGUAAUGAUACGAUUUUCAGCUGGUAUUUAGAGGCCACUCGUCCCAUAUGGCUAAUAUCAGCAUUAAUAAGGAGGUCUGCUCAGGGCACGGAGAAGUUCCAUGAGAAAGAAAGUAUACAAGCUUUCCAUCACACUGAUGGAAAAGUGGUUAUCUGUCUGGCUUCAUAUAAAACUAACAGCUAUUUCUUUUUCUUUAUGAGCAAUGGAACUAUUUUGUAACAAACAAAACAGGAAAAACAAGAUCAGUGCCAUCCUCCUGAUAGAGCUAUCUGCCUAUAAUGGGCUGGUUUUUUUUUGACAGGUGGCAUUGCUGAGAGCUGAGGCUUUGCACUCAUGUGGAUUCUGGCUCUACCAUUGCUCACAUAGAAUCACAGAACUGUAGAAUCACUAAGGUCGGAAGAGACCACGAAGAUCAUCUAGUCCCACCCUCAAACCAUCCCCACCAUGUCUACUAAGCCAGGUCGCUCAGUGCCACAUCUCCAUGUUUCUUGAACAACUCCAAAGAUGGUGACUCCACACAUUCCCUGAGAACAGACCUGCUGGAUUUCCUAUUUCUGGGACAGCACAAGUUUGUAGGGAGACUUUGAAGGGACCUGCACAAAUGCUCUACACUCAUGUAGUGACCAUCCCUUCUCCAGAGCCCAAUUAUCUCCUGAUACCACCUCUUCCAACGUGUCUCCUGUACACCUGCAUGGACUAACAACCACACAGAGCUCCUUAACCUUUCCAUUCUUCCAAAAGAAACAAAACAGCUUCCUCUAUCUUUUCCUCCAUUUCCUCAGCUCUGUGGUGAUCAAGUGACUGUUCUGCAUCUCCUGCCACUAUUUUGAGCCCAAGGACUGCAGCAGUCUAGACAUAUUAGCACUUCCAAUGUUGAGCUCACAGACUGUAUCAAUUAGUGGGCUGAUUUCUGCCCACAUAUCCCAGGAGGCAGCAUGUAUACUCUCCUAGACUGCAGCACUGAUGAACAGAGACUGUUCACGGAUGGCAGAGACUCCUCACCAGAGGACUGGUUAGUGCGUGCUGUCCCUGUCCCUCUUUGCAGGACUACUUUCUCAUCUAAUGUCUUUCCAAUACAGGGUUUCUUACAGAAACAAUAUGGUCUUGGUGGGACUCCUUGAUGCAGCUUACAGCUUUCUUCUAAGAAGGGUCAAGCUGAUUCCCUCUGCAAGGCAGAGCACAUUCUCAGCCCUUAAGCAAUGUUCUUGUUCCCGCAGCAUCAUCCCACUCAUAGACCAGCCCCUGGGAGCUUCUACGUCUGCAUCUUUUCCCCCUGAAACAACUGAAGAAGAUGAAUCUCUGUAACCCCACCGCCUCCAUACCCAGCAGCACAGGAGCAAAGCUCUGGCUGAGGCAGCCUGCAUGACUCAGAGCUCUCCCUGUAAAUGCAGCAACCUUUGUUAGGAAUAAAACCUAUGGUUUUGGUACCAAAACAAACUCAGCCUUGGGCUGGGCUGAACUGGCCCAAUGUCAUCAGACAGGCUGUGUAGUGUAGCUCUCCUCUCCCAUCUCUUUUCUUUGUCUUUUAGCUCAACCUCCCGCAAACCUUCUGGCCUGUCUAUUCCCAGGUAUGAAUAAAAUAGUCUGAGCUGUG